rnacentral:ribozyme from 1 species
GCCGAUUACUGUUACGAAAAUGUGCCUAACGCAAAUAAUCGCAACCAAGUUUCAAAACCGCUUGCUUCACCGUAUAUCCAAGCUUGGGUAAACGGGCCAGUCCCAACCCCUUGGGCGGAUGGUGGAGCACGGCUGAACAGGAGGGG